ACAGUUCUGUAUACCCACAUUCCUUCAUCCCUACUCUAAGCAGAUGGCAUUUCAAAUCCUAGAGUGGAAUUAUCCUGGGCUUUAAGUACACAUCAGGCUGGUUUCUCUCCUUAUGCAACUUAAAUAAAGAAAAGUCAGCUUUACUACAGACGAAGAAUCAAAUGGCAUUAGAUUUAGAACAACUUCUAAAUCAUCGUGAGGAAUUGGCAGCAAUGAAACAGAUUCUCGUUAAGAUGCAUAGUAAACAUUCUGAGAACAGCUUACUUCUCACUAAAACAGAACCAAAAAAUGUGACAGAAAAUCAGAAAUCAAAGACUUUGAAUGUGCCUAAAGAACAUGAAGACAAUAUACUUACACCUAAACCAACACUCUUUACUAAAAAAGAAGCACCUGAGUGGUCUAAGAAACAAAAGAUGAAGACCUAGUGUUUUGGAUGGGAAGCACCUGUAGACCAUUAUGUACUCCUAAAGUUCUUUUUCUGAUGGAAAACAAUUCAUCUUAAUCAUGUACUCAGUAUUUUUUAAAUAACAAUGUUUAUUUGAACUAAUACUAAAUUAACAAAUUCAGUGUAA
rnacentral:sRNA from 1 species